ACACUCCCACAAUGCAGCGGGGCAGUGCAUUAACAUGGCGUCAAUGGUUGCUUAUUUGACCAGGGCCGUGGAACUUGAUACGAACAGCACUAUGGGAACAGCUAAACAAUAAGCCGAAAUCAACUUUAGAAGCCGGAAGGACAACAAGAGCAGAACAGGGAUGGAUGAAUCCAAAAGUCCAGUCAAGCAGUCUCAACCCAGAGGACCCAAAGUUUUGUCCAGUGAGAAGUCAAAUGUAAAGGCUCCAGCGCAGAGAGAUGGUACCAAGUCUGCAAACCACCAUAACAUCACUGCUGCGAAGGAUGGCCAUUAUAGUCACGGGAGCUGCGAGCCAGGCAAGACUUUAGCGGACAUCCCCCAGGACAGGAGGAGAGGGCGGCCCUCCAGGAUCACUAGACAAACUGGAAGAACGAGUUCUGGGGAGAAGGGGAAAGGAAAGGUGGCGAGCUCACAACAGAAGCCGGUGGCGCAGGAUCCCGACACCACAGUGUCUAUUUCUGCAGACAGCACCUCCUCAGCAAACAGAGAGACCAGCUCUCCUGUAGCGCCAGGGACACCGGAGAAAGGCCACACAGAGCUCCAUUGUAGCUCCAUUGUAGUUCAGACUAAGGAAAAUUCACAUGGGGUGAAGCGGGCUGCAUUGAUGCAGCAGGCCGUUGAAGAGGUGAGGCCCACGGGGAAUGAUGGGCCGCUGACGGAGCAACAGUUGGGCCUCCGGCAGGCAGAGGAGCGCCUCUACAGAGACUACAUCCACCGACUGCUGAAACACUCCCCUGACUACCCAAACUACCAAUACUUAUGCAAGCUUUGUUCUGUGCACAUUGAGAACAUUCAAGGAGCACACAAACACAUCAAGGAGAAGAGACACAAGAAGAACAUUAUGGAGAAACAGGAGGAGAACGAGCUGCGUGCGCUGCCGCCCGCCUCUGCCGCCCAGCUGAAGGCCGUGGACGAGGCCGUCCUGGACACUGCGAGGCAGCACGGGAUCUCAGAGGAGGACUUUGAGGUUCGGAAAGCCGUGGUCAUCAAGAUGGAAGAGAUCAUAAAGAGGCACCUCUCAGCUUGUGCUCUCCGUCUUUAUGGUUCAUGUCUUACCCGAUUUGCCUUUAAGACGAGUGAUAUCAACAUCGAUGUCACCCACCCCCCCUCAAUGACACAACCUGAGGUCCUGAUACAAGUGCUGGAAAUUCUUAAAAAAAGCCCUGAAUUUUCUGAGGUCGAGUCAGAUUUUCAUGCCAAAGUUCCUGCAGUGUUCUGUCGGGAUGUUAGCAACGGCCUGAUGUGUAAAGUGAGUGCAGGUAACGACGUUGCUUGUCUCACCACCAAUCAUCUGGCAGCCCUGUCUAAACUGGAACCUAGAUUGAUCCCACUGGUGCUGGCCUUCCGAUACUGGGCGAGGCUGUGUCACAUCGACUGCCAGGCUGAGGGGGGCAUCCCCUCGUACUCCUUAGCCCUCAUGGUCAUCUUCUUCCUGCAGCAGAGGAAGGAGCCGGUACUCCCCGUCUACCUGGGCCACUGGAUUGAAGGCUUCGAUGUGAAACGCGUGGACGAGUAUCACCUAACUGGAAUAUCGCUAGACAUCUUUGUUCGUUGGGAGCGCAGACUCGCAAGCUCCACAGACAACCGGAACGAAGCCAGGGGAGAAGGCAGAGCCAAGCCGGAGCAGAAAAAAAUCCCUGACCAUCAUUACUCCGAAGGCAUUACCCGGCUAACGUUGGACCUGUGCAGAGGUGUGUCGCCGGGCCAGUUGUGGUUGGAGCUCCUGCGUUUCUACACCUUAGAGUUUGCUCUGGAAGAACACAUCAUCAGCAUCCGCCUGAAGGAGCUCCUCUCUAGAGAAGGGAAGAACUGGCCCCGCCGCAGGCUCGCUAUUGAAGAUCCUUUUGCCUUGAAGAGGAACGUUGCGCGCAGCCUGAACAGCCAAAUGGUGUUUGAGUACAUCCACGAGCGCCUGCGUUCGGCUUACAAAUACUUUGCGUCCCCUCAGAGGAGAAGCUCUGUGACGCGCCGGGGAUACAAAAAGGCCGACAACCAGGGUAAAACAUUGGAAGAGCUUGAGAAAGAGGAGGAGGACGGAAAAGGCUGUGCUUCUCAGGGGGAGCUGCACAAAUUUAAGGAGGAUGAGAAACCUGACCGUGAUGACGACGAUGGAUCAGAUCCGUCCAGAAAAAGUAAUGAGGAGACUUUGAAUGCAAGUCUCAUGGACAUGGUUCUCCGUGAGAGGGUCCAACCAGCCCUCCGCCCCAACGGCCUGCCAGACAGUGACAUGGAGGAAGAGGAGGAGAAGGAUGAAGAGGCGGAGGGAAGCAAUGUUUCGGAUGCGGACGGCCUUGUUUCGUCAGAAGAUCUUCACUAUGUGUUUGAUAAGAUGAUCUUCACUAAUGGGAAGCCCCCAACCGUUGUGUGUAGCAUCUGCAAGCGAGAUGGUCACCUGAAGGACGAGUGCCCCGAAGACUUCAAGAAGAUCGAGCUGAAGCCUCUGCCUCCCAUGAACGACCGCUUCAGAGACAUCCUCGACGGGCUCUGCAAAUUGUGCUUCUAUGAAUUGUCACCUACACAUGCUGAGCAGCAAAAGAGGGAGCAGAUUCUUUGCGGCCUGGAAAGAUUCAUAAGAAAAGAGUACAAUGAUAAAGCUCAACUCUGCUUGUUUGGGUCCUCCAAGAAUGGCUUUGGCUUCCGUGACAGUGACCUCGACAUUUGCAUGACUCUGGAGGGCCAUGAGACUGCUGAGAAGCUGAACUGCAAGGAGAUCAUUGAAGUCCUCGCAAAAGUACUGAAGAAGCAUACAGGUUUGAGGAACAUCCUGCCCAUCACAACAGCUAAAGUGCCUAUCGUGAAGUUUGAACACAGACAGAGUGGUUUGGAGGGAGAUAUUAGCCUUUAUAAUACUCUGGCUCAACAUAACACCAGAAUGCUGGCUACAUAUGCAGCCCUGGAUCCACGUGUGCAAUUCCUGGGAUACACAAUGAAGGUCUUUGCAAAGCGCUGCGACAUUGGGGAUGCGUCCAGAGGAAGCCUCUCAUCUUAUGCCUACAUCUUGAUGGUGCUUUACUUCCUGCAGCAAAGGCAGCCCCCAGUCGUUCCAGUCUUACAGGAGAUAUUUGAUGGGAGUGCUGUCCCCCAGCGGAUGGUAGAUGGCUGGAAUGCUUUCUUUUGUGAUGACCUUGAGGAUCUGCGUCGGCAUCUCUCAAAGCUGCAGCCGAACCUGGAGUCCGUGGGGGAGCUGUGGUUGGGGCUCCUGCGCUUUUACACUGAAGAGUUUGACUUCAAAGAGCACGUCAUCAGCAUCCGCCAAAGAAAACGCCUGACCACCUUCGAGAAGCAGUGGACCAGUAAAUGCAUCGCUAUUGAAGAUCCCUUUGAUUUGAAUCAUAAUCUUGGUGCUGGAGUUUCUCGCAAAAUGACAAACUUCAUCAUGAAGGCCUUUAUAAACGGGAGAAAGUUGUUUGGGACUCCGUUCUGCCCGUUACAGGGAACCGAAGUGGACUACUUCUUUGACUCCAAGGUGUUGACGGAUGGGGAGUUGGCGCCCAAUGACCGGUGCUGCAGAAUUUGCGGGAAGAUUGGACACUACAUGAAGGACUGUCCAAAAAGACGCAGAAUCAAGAAGAAGGAAAACGACAAAGACGAGGACACAAAAGAAGAGGAGCGUGAGCCGAAGGACAGGCGUUGUUUUCAGUGUGGGGACAUGGGACACGUAAGGAGAGACUGUCCCGAGUAUCGUCACCUCAAACAGAGGACCACCGGAGCCCCAGCUCCUCACAUGGUACGAACUGUAUUGAGCUCCCAGUCCAUCCCGAUUCCCCAGACAGCUGCAGACGGUCCCGGAAGGACCAGGCAGCCCUCUGAAUGUUCCGAUAGUCUGCAGACUCCGCCCUACUCCCCACAGUCCACAACUGCUCCUCCGAGUUCCUCAAAGAUCUCCAGUUCCCCUCAGCCCUCCCACAUUAAGACCAGUCCAGCUGGUGCCACAAAGCAGCCUGUUCAAACCCACGUCCCCCUGUCUCUAUUCAGCUUCCCCACCUCCCGUCCAGGCCAGUACCACCCAGCAGCGGCGCUCGGCGCACUCGGGUUCCUUCCCUCUCACCAGCACCAGUCACGUCAGGCCCAGGGGCCGCCUCAUCACCCGGUCCACGUCCCUUCCACGGCCUGGCCCAUACACGGACCCGUCCUCACCGCGUCCUCUCCCAAAGGCCCCUCCCCGCCAGGCCUAAGGUUCGCCGUGCGUUCGGCGACGGGGAACGGGAGUCCCACGGGUUCAGGGGGCAGCUCUAGCCCCAUGAACCUGAACGACCCCAGCAUCAUAUUCGCCCAGCCGGCGGGGAGACAGCUGGGCAUCGGGCCUGGCCGGGAAGGACACUGGCACAACCAUUUGGCACAGACUGGGUCACUCAUGGGAAAUGGCACCGUGGUCAAGUCAGAUGUAAGAGAGAUUGAGCAUGAGACAGAUGGGAGAGUCGAGCCACUUGGCCCAGUUUGGAGGAGUAACCCAGGGCUCUCGGUUAUGGGAUCACAAUAAAACCCCACAGUACGCCCUGCCUCCAUCUUGGCCCUACCGGAUGCCUCAGAACUUUAUCCAGCAGGGCAACGGCGGCUACCCGCCAGGAAAACCCCUUGUGGCUCAAGGGCCUGUGGUGCAGCCCAAUCCAAACUUCCCGCUGCUCCCUCACGUCCGACAUCCAGUGAAUUUGAAUUUCAUCCAACAGAAGAAAUGAACUUGCAUCUCACUUUUAAUUCGUAUCCUGGUCCGUAACAUAGCAAAGCAAAAUUCUUUACUCUUUGCAUCGUUUGAUCACAAGAGUUUUUUUAAUGACUUUUUUUUCAUUUUUGUACAGUUUUGUCUCAUUACAUUGAUUUGUGAUACAAAUGUAAAAUAUAUUAAUACCCCUAUUUUUGAGGGGGUCCAAAAAAGUGUUUUUAUUUCACGUGUAAAGUAAGGAGGACAAAUACAAACCUUUAUUUUUAUUAGCUGUAUUCAUACUUUGCUUGCCACAAGAAGAAGUCUUUGAAUAGAAGUUUGUUUUUAAAACAAUCUAACAUGCCCCCCUAAGUAUGUAGUGCCAAAAGCAGGGAUAGCAAGAAAAAAGGGAAAAAAUAAAGGAAAAAAAAAAGUGUA